UUUAAUAAUUGAUACCUCACCUUGAGGCUUAUAUUGUUUUGCAGAAAAACACGUGACCUAUGAAAAACGAGGCUUCGCAUUGCAGGGGAUACAUCGCUGGUUUGUUUUCAGUGUCAGUGGCUGGAUAAAAACAUCCUAAAUACCGGACACUUUGUGGGCUGUUAUAGGUCACAAUUUGGUUUGCGCAUCAUCAGUGUAGUAGAAUUUUUACUAAUGUUUAGCGGAGUAUUUGCUAUUACCAUUAUCAUAAUUAUUAUUAUUACUAUUAUUACCACCAGUAUCCCAAGUGCGAUGUGAGAGGGCCAGACACAGUGAAGAAAAUUGUUUUUAAAUACAAAUCAAUAAAAAUUUCCCCUCCUUCCUCUUGCACAGUACUGCUCAGUAUAUUCCCUCCCAGUCACUGAAUGUCAUCAGAAACUACAUCCUCUCAUUCAUUUUUAUUAUCAGACCUUUAUAAAUGUUUAUGAAACAGAUGAUCCAACAGGGAACAAAGGAAAGACCUGGUAUAUAUGGUACAAGGCUGAUUACAGAAUGAGGUGCAGGUGAGGAGAGCUCAGGUGACUGCGGGGCUAAUGAUAAGCGGGAGCAGGUGUGUGGAUGGGAGGGGCAGACAGGUGAAUGGGAAUAGAGAGGAAAAACUGAGAACUUCAGGUGGGAGAAGUAAUAAUCAGUUUUUAUGAUGCCCCGCUUAUCCCCUCACAAGAUCAUGAGACAAAAAGAUGGGAAUUUAUUAACGAAGAUGACAAGCAAAACAUAUUGUGGCUGGCCGACUAUGCCGAAUGUCUGGGACAACAAAAUCUCACAUUCCUAUCUCAAGAAGCAGAGGAGGAUGCUGUAGGAGUCUACAAACCUACAAAGGAUCUGUCACCACCUCUUCCACCACAUGAUGUCAAAAUUUUGAAGGCUACCACAUGUUUGAGUUUUGAAAAUAUCAUCUCUAAAAAAAUUAAAGGAGAAUUGUUGGGUUUUGUCAGAUUGAUCAUCCAAGCCAGAGGCAGCAUAGUUGUCUAUAUAAGAUGCCUCUGUUGUUGUACAGAACCUGAGAAGAUUCUUGAUAUUGUGGACUUAUGGACUCACUGACUUAUUAACAAAACCCAACACUGAACCAAGACUGGCUGAAAUUCAAGAGACUCUCCUAAAAAAUACAGAUAAAUCUGUCAUUAUCGAUGCUGUUCAUCUCUGGCAACAAUCAAUGUAAAAAAAAAUUGAAAGAUUUUGUACAUGAUUUGAAUGUUAGUCACUAUGAUUUUUCAGUAAAAUGUUUAAUGUUAAAAGAAGAGA